UACGAAGGGUGCAAGCGUUGUUCGGAAUUACUGGGCGUAAAGGGUUCGUAGGCGGGUAUGCAAGUCAAGUGUGAAAUCCCCAGGCUUAACCUGGGACGUGCAUUUGAGACUGUGUAUCUUGAGAAUCGGAGAGGGUGGUGGAAUUGCUGGUGUAGGAGUGACAUCCGUAGAGAUCAGCAGGAACACCGGAGGCGAAGGCGACCACCUGGCCGAAUACUGACGCUGAGGAACGAAAGCGUGGGGAGCAAACAGG
rnacentral:rRNA from 1 species